GGAUGUAGCUCAGAGGCAGAGCACUUGCCUAGAAAGCAUGAGGCCCUGGCUUCAAUCCCCAAUACUGCCA
rnacentral:tRNA from 1 species